CCACUCUGAGAACUCUAUCCUUAUGAUUUCAUCUUCCUGGACUUCAUUACAGGGACCAAGGUAGCAGAAGGGGGCUCUUCCCUUCCUCCUUCGGAAAAGACACUACACACCUUUAGCUUCUUGGAGUCACUGUGUUCAGCUCCCAAUCUCUACCUCGUGGACAUUUGGAUACACAAAUGGAGUCAGGGCCUCCUGGAAAUCAACUGGACUCAGUGAAAGCUCCACCUACCUGCCCGCAGUGAUGGAAGGAUGCCUUUACAUGAUUGCCCAGGACAGCAGCCUGAGGGGACAGUGGAGAGGAGAAAGAAUCCCUAAGUUUCCUUUAGAAGCAAACACCUCCCAUUUUGCAGAUGAAUAAACUGAGACUCAGAAAAGUCUUGGACUAAACCAGGGAUCCACCCUCCACCACCAAGAAAAGUAAUAUUUUAUAUGUGGUAAGCAUUUGCAGGAACUUCUGGGCCUCUUCUUGUGAAUUUAAACUCUGGACCAGGUCUGUCUGAAUUUGCAGAAAUAUUUAGUUUCAUUUGUUUCCUCACAUUAACUCAUGUGCUAAGAACAAUGCUGAGAAUUCUCUAUGGUAUAUUUCUGUCAUGGGGCCAGCUGUGGCACAAGAAACAGAGGGAACAAGAAGCAAGAAAAGACCUUCAAAGCACCUUCUGACCGGCGCUGCUGAAUUCCAGAGCCCAGGAUUCUGGAGAAAAUUCUGCCCUCAGAUCUCAUAACAGUGAGCCUGGAGGAAUGAAAAGUCCUGUAAGCGAGAGAGGACAUUUAAACCUAGAGUAUAGUUCCUCAGAUUAAAGCCAAGCAUUUCCCUUUAUCAUCCUGGUUUUCUUCACACCACAGGAGAAGUGAAUUCCAAAGCACCACAGUGGCUUAAUGCUUCAGUAAAAACCUCAGCUUUAGUCAUUGUCAUGGGCUGAAUCGUGUCCCCACGAAGAUGUGAUGAGGUCUUAACCUCCAGAACCUCAGAAUAUGACCUUUGAAAAUAGGUCAUUGAGAUGUAAUUAGUUAGGAUGAGGUCACACUGAAGCGGGUGAGCCCUUAAUUUAAUAUGGCUGGUGCCCUUAUUUUAAAAAUGAUAUGAAGAUACAAGGGAAGAAGGCCAUGUGAUGAUGGAGGCAGAGCUUAGGCUGACACAGCUGCAAGCCAAGAAACGCCCAGAGCUGCUGCAACACCAGAAGCCAGACAAGGAGCAGAUGUAACCUCAGAGCCCCUAGGAGAAACCAAUCCUGCUGACACUGUGAUUUCAGACCUCCAGCUCCAGAACCAUAACGGAAUAAAUUUCUGAUGUCUUCAGCUACCCAGUUGGCAGUAAUUUGUCAGGAGAGCCUUAGGACACUAAUACAGUCACCUUGCAUAGAAUUGGAACCCAGAAAAAAAAUGAACUGGACAUGACCAUAACUGAAAGGUAAGAGACUAGUAAGAGGAUUAGCCCCAGUCCCAAAAUGGCAAAUAGGGAGUCCAAAUGUCACGAGUCCCCGUUGCUUGCCCCUGGUAGACAUGACUGAAGGAUUAGGGUCCUCUCCCACAGGGCCAGGCUAAGGCCUUGGAGGACUUAGCACAGUGCUUUGGCUGCCCCUAAGUUCGGAGAUUCUUGCCCUUUUCUAUUUACACGGCUUCAAGUUAUACUUUAGCUCCAUUGCACUUCCUUAAUCUACCGUCGACUCUUUUUCUAAGUUUUUAGUGAGCACUGGGUAAAUUGAAACACCAGAAAAAUUUCAUGGCUGAGCGACAGGAUGGGAUGUAGGGUCCAGCCCAGGGGUGGGAUAUGGUUACCAAGAGAGAGGAAGCCCAGUGUCACCAGGAAACAUGUGGGUUUUAUACCCAUUCUGCCCCAAAAUUUGAGCCAGCAGCCAUGAUAGACGGAAUUCAAAAAGACAAUGCUGCAAGUAUCUAAGUGUGAAGUCUUUGUUCUUGCUUGGCCAAUUAAAAACAAAACUGUUUUCUUUUAAGGCAGAAAAGAAACCUAAAUAAUACUCCAAUCUUCAACAAAGCUGUCCGCACAAACAAAGAGUUUG
rnacentral:lncRNA from 1 species